GUGUCAGCAGCCGCGGUAAGACAGAGGGUGCAAACGUUGCUCGGAAUUACUGGGCGUAAAGCGCGUGUAGGCGGACCGAUGUGUCAGGUGUGAAAUCCCCGGGCUCAACCCGGGAACUGCACUUGAAACUGUCGGCCUUGAGUACCGGAGAGGGUGGCGGAAUUCCUGGUGUAGAGGUGAAAUUCGUAGAUAUCAGGAGGAACACCGGUGGCGAAGGCGGCCACCUGGACGGUUACUGACGCUGAGACGCGAAAGCGUGGGGAGCAAACAGGAUUAGAAACCCCGGUAGUCC
rnacentral:rRNA from 1 species